rnacentral:rRNA from 1 species
GAUGAACGCUGGCGGCGUGCCUAAUACAUGCAAGUAGAACGCUGAAGGAAGGAGCUUGCUCUUUCCGGGUGAGUUGCGAACGGGUGAGUAACGCGUAGGUAACCUGCCUGGUAGCGGGGGAUAACUAUUGGAAACGAUAGCUAAUACCGCAUAACAGUAGAUGUUGCAUGAUUUCUACUUAAAAGGUGCAAUUGCACCACUACCAGAUGGACUUGCGUUGUAUUAGCUAGUUGGUGAGGUAACGGCUCACCAAGGCGACGAUACAUAGCCGACCUGAGAGGGUGAUCGGCCCCACUGGGACUGAGACACGGCCCAGACUCCUGCGGGGGGCAGCAGGAGGGAAACUUCGGCAAUGGACGGAAGUCUGACCGAGCAACGCCGCGGGAGUGAAGAAGGUUUUCGGAUCGUAAAGCUCUGUUGUAAGAGAAGAACGAGUGUGGGAGUGGAAAGUUCACACUGUGACGGUAUCUUACCAGAAAGGGACGGCUAACUACGUG